AGGGGACCCGUUGCCAAGAAACCGGACUUCCGCCUGGGGCUCCGGCCUUAAGCAGCCCUGGCGCAGCUGCUUCUUCCCCUUGUCCCCCAUAUGGCCCAGAAAGCCUAGGGCAGUUGCAGUGCUCAGGCGACCCCAGGCGGAGACAGGAAACUUGGACCGCGACUCUGUUGAGUACAGUGGGAACAAAAGGAGACACUCAGUGUGACUACUCCGUACCACCUUUGGAGCCCAAUACGUGAGUUAAGUUUUCUUAGCACCUGGAAAAGGAUGUGCAACUGCCAAGAAUGAUGGGAAGAAGACAAUGCCAUCCCAGAAGGAAGAGAAUAUAAGAACUUUGUUUUUCCUUCCAUAAAAAUACAAUCUAAUACUGGAGAGGUAUAAAAAUUAAGGAGUUAUUAGAA